rnacentral:misc_RNA from 1 species
GAUGAAGAACGUAGCGAAAUGCGAUAAGUAAUGUGAAUUGCAGAAUUCAGUGAAUCAUCGAAUCUUUGAACGCACAUUGCGCCCCUUGGUAUUCCGAGGGGCAUGCCUGUUCGAGCGUCAUUAUAACCCCUCAAGCUCAGCUUGGUGUUGGGGCCUGCUGCACUGGCAGCCCUUAAAAUCAGUGGCGGCGCCAUCUGGCUCUAAGCGUAGUAAUUCUUCUCGCUAUGGAGUCCUGGUGGAUGCUUGCCAUCAACCCCCAAUUUUUCUAUGGUUGACCUCGGAUCAGGUAGGGAUACCCGCUGAACUUAAGCAUAUCAUAAGCGAGGA